UAACAGCAUUGAGUCUGCCGUCAGUGACGC
rnacentral:sRNA from 1 species